UUUAGAAUUUUUUUGAGUACGCAAUUUUGUAGCCCAUUAAAUUUGAGUAUAAUAAAGUGCAAGUUAUAAGUAACUAGGAUUAACCGUUGAUUUCUGGCAAUUUCUUUUUUGACG